rnacentral:lncRNA from 1 species
UUAAAGUCAAAGCUUCUUUUAAGAUUCCUUCUGCUAGAUCCGCAGCAACACCUAAACCGGCUGCUCCGGUUAAGAAGAAGGCAACUGUAGUAGCUAAACCUAAGGGUAAGGUUGCUGCUGCUGUUGCUCCUGCUAAAGCUAAAGCGGCGGCUAAAGGAACUAAGAAGCCUGCGGCUAAAGUUGUUGCUAAGGCUAAGGUUACUGCUAAACCUAAGGCUAAGGUUACUGCUGCUAAACCUAAGUCUAAGUCUGUUGCUGCUGUUUCCAAGACUAAAGCUGUUGCUGCUAAGCCUAAGGCUAAGGAGAGACCAGCUAAAGCUUCUAGGACUUCGACUAG